rnacentral:rRNA from 1 species
GAUGAACGCUGGCGGCGUGCCUAAUACAUGCAAGUCGAGCGAACAGACGAGGAGCUUGUUCCUCUGACGUUAGCGGCGGACGGGUGAGUAACACGUGGAUAACCUACCUAUAAGACUGGGAUAACUUCGGGAAACCGGAGCUAAUACCGGAUAAUAUAUUGAACCGCAUUGUUCAAUAGUGAAAGACGGUUUUGCUGUCACUUAUAGAUGGAUCCGCGCCGCAUUAGCUAGUUGGUAAGGUAACGGCUUACCAAGGCGACGAUGCGUAGCCGACCUGAGAGGGUGAUCGGCCACACUGGAACUGAGACACGGUCCAGACUCCUACGGGAGGCAGCAGUAGGGAAUCUUCCGCAAAGGGCGAAAGCCUGACGGAGCAACGCCGCGUGGGUGAUGAAGGUCUUCGGAUCGUAAAACUCUGUUAUUAGGGAAGAACAGAUGUGUAAGUAACUAUGCACGUCUUGACGGUACCUAAUCAGAAAGCCACGGCUAACUACGUG